AUUGAACGCUGGCGGCAGGCCUCACACAUGCAAGUCGAGCGGAUCGGCGGACGGGUGAUUAAUGCCUAUGAAUCUGCCUGUUAGUGGUGGAUAACGUCCGGAAACGGGCGCUAAUACCGCAUACUAUCAGAUGAGCCUAGGUGGGAUUAGCUAGUUGGUGGGGUAAAGGCCUCCCAAGGCGACGAUCCGUAACUGGUCUGAGAGGAUGAUCAGUCACACUGGAACUGAGACACGGUCCAGACUCCUACGGGAGGCAGCAGUGGGGAAGAUUGGACAAUGGGCGAAAGCCUGAUGCAGCCAUGCCGCGUGUGUGAAGAAGGUCUUCGGAUUGUAAAGCACUUUAAGUUGGGAGGCGUUACCAACAGAAUAAGCACCGGCUAACUUCGUGCCAGCAGCCGCGGUAAUAC
rnacentral:rRNA from 1 species